rnacentral:rRNA from 1 species
GCAAGUCGAACGCAGUAGCAAUACUGAGUGGCAGACGGGUGAGUAACAUGCGGGAAUCUGCCUUGUGGUUCAGAAUAACACGAGGAGACUUGUGCUAAUACCGGAUAAGCCCUUACGGGGAAAGUUUUAAUGCCAAAAGAUGAGCCCGCACUUGAUUAGCUAGUUGGUAAGGUAAUGGCUUACCAAGGCAACGAUCAAUAGCUGUUCUUAGAGGAAGACCAGCCACAUUGGGACUGAGACACGGCCCAAACUCC